rnacentral:rRNA from 1 species
AUACGUAGGGGGCGAGCGUUGUCCGGAAUUACUGGGCGUAAAGGGCGUGUAGGCGGUCAAUUAAGUUAGAUGUGAAAGACCCGGGCUUAACUCGGGGAUUGCAUUUAAGACUGGUAGACUUGAGUACAGGAGAGGAAAGUGGAAUUCCUAGUGUAGCGGUGAAAUGCGUAGAUAUUAGGAGGAACACCAGUGGCGAAGGCGACUUUCUGGACUGUAACUGACGCUGAGGCGCGAAAGCGUGGGUAGCAAACAGGAUUAGAUACCCUGGUAGUCCACGCUGUAAACGAUGGAUACUAGGUGUAGGAGGUAUCGACCCCUUCUGUGCCGUCGCAAACGCAAUAAGUAUCCCGCCUGGGGAGUACGGCCGCAAGGUUGA